UGCUCGAACCGUAAGAACGGUCGAAUUUGAAGAAGAGGUGCUUCAGCGAGUUGCCGAUGAACCAUCAAGUAGCACACGUGACGUCGCUAAGAAUAUGAAUACGAGUAACGCUUCUGUCUGGCGGGUACUACACGAGCAACAACUCCAUCCUUACCACUUCCAGAAAGUUCAAGCAUGAUGGAGCGCCGGCUCACUUUGCUGUACAAGUACGCUAGUAUUUGGCUCAGCGAUUUGGGCACCGUUGGAUUGCCAGAGGUAGAGCAGCUUCUUGGCCUCCUAGGUCACCCGAUUCAACGUCGCUCGAUUUUUUCUUGUGGGGACAUGUAAAGUCUUUAGUCUACGAAACUCCAGUAGAAUCAGACCUAGACUUAAUUAGACGAAUAACAGCAGCAUUUGAAAUCAUUCAAAACGAGGACCAAAUUUUUAGUGUAGUCCGCCGAAAUCAUGUGCGGCAUUUAAAUCGGUGUAUUGAGGUUGGAGGAAGACAUUUUGAACAAUUGUUGUGAUGGUAUCAUAUACAAAAGGGCCGUAGUGACGUAGUGACACUUUUCCGGACAUGGUUUCCUAUACUCAAAUGGAUUCUACUGUUGCACUGAACAAUCCCUAGAAGUUUGAUCCCAUAGUUCUGAAACACCCUGUAUAAGUAAGUAUAAGUAUA